rnacentral:tRNA from 1 species
GCCUUCGUGGUGUAACGGUAGCACACUCGGCUCGUAUUCGAAAGGUCCAGGAUUCGAGUCCCGGAGAGGCCA